rnacentral:rRNA from 1 species
GACGAACGCUGGCGGCGUGCCUAAUACAUGCAAGUUGAGCGCUGAAGGUUGGUACUUGUACCAACUGGAUGAGCCGCGAACGGGUGAGUAACGCGUGGGGAAUCUGCCUUUGAGCGGGGGACAACAUUUGGAAACGAAUGCUAAUACCGCAUAAAAACUUUAAACACAAGUUUUAAGUUUGAAAGAUGCAAUUGCAUCACUCAAAGAUGAUCCCGCGUUGUAUUAGCUAGUUGGUGAGGUAAAGGCUCACCAAGGCGAUGAUACAUAGCCGACCUGAGAGGGUGAUCGGCCACAUUGGGACUGAGACACGGCCCAAACUCCUACGGGAGGCAGCAGUAGGGAAUCUUCGGCAAUGGACGAAAGUCUGACCGAGCAACGCCGCGUGAGUGAAGAAGGUUUUCGGAUCGUAAAACUCUGUUGGUAGAGAAGAACGUUGGUGAGAGUGGAAAGCUCAUCAAGUGACGGUAACUACCCAGAAAGGGACGGCUAACUACGUG